rnacentral:ncRNA from 1 species
GACACUGUUCGUGGUGAUUUGAGCCGACCGGCUUGCGGCCACGUUAAAUAAUCCGCUAAAAGGUCGUGCGCUCGGGCUU